CACGUAGUUAGCCGGAGCUUAUUCCUCAGGUACCGUCAAAUUCCUCUUUCUUCCCUGAUAAAAGAACUUUACAUUACGAAUAACCUCUUCGUUCACGCGGCGUUGCUCGGUCAGGGUUCCCCCCAUUGCCGAAAAUUCCCUACUGCUGCCUCCCGUAGGAGUAUGGACCGUUCUCAGUUCCAUUGUGGCCGUUCAACCUCUCAGUCCGGCUACGCAUCAUCGCCUUGGUAGGCCCUUACCCCACCAACUAGCUAAUGCGCCACAGGCCCCUCCUUAAGCAGAUCUCUCUUUUAAAUAUAAAAGAUUCUUCCUCUAUAUCCUAUCCAGUUUUAUCCAUCGUUUCCAAUGGCUAUCCUCGUCUUAAGGGUAGGUUACCUAUGUAUUACUCACCCGUUCGCCACUAAAGUACCCGAAGGUACUUCCGUUCGACUUGCAUGUAUUAGGCACGCCGCCAGCGUUAAUCCUGAGCCAGGAUCAAACUCU
rnacentral:rRNA from 1 species